CCGCCGGCCGGGGUCGCCGCCCGGGCUCGGUCAGUCGGUACCUUCAUGAAGGUCUCUACCGCGCCUUUGGCCGUGUCCAGAGCGCCAAUUAUUAAGUAUUCACAAGCACACUGCUGGACAGAGGCUGCAUGAGGUAAUGGCUUCACGUGAAAGCUAAGACAACAAAGAUGAGUAUGGCCCAACCUCAACCACAUGAAAAUGAAGAUGGCGAAAUAAGCAAGAAGGAGAAAGAUAAAUACCAGAUGGUGUUACUUAUAUAUAGACUAUAGAGAAACCAAACAAAGGGUCAAACAAACACAAACUGUAAAACCAAUCCAUGAAAACGGAGGCAUCUAAGAGGAAGAGGGAGAGGUUAUGAUAACUUCCACUCUUCUCCACAACUUCAAACUUCUGGGAUUCAGAUAAUGAAUGCUGGAAUAAUGAAGACUUUCAACAUCAUUCUGUAGCUGUGGCCAUGGAUCCCAGACAUAUAAAGCAUCAGUCAAGAGUCAGUCCUUCUUCUAGGCACUGAGGAUGCUGUCAAUGAACACGUGGGGAAAGUUUCCUACUUGCAUUGAACAGAACUAGUUCUCUUGAUUUAUGGCCCAAUGCUGUUUUCUAUUAUACUAGGCAAAGUUAGAGACUCAUUUUACUGUUUUGCAAGUACCUGUCAUUAUGAGUAGGCUUAUGUCUCUUCCACAUUGUGUAUUCAUAUAGUCAACAAAUAUUUAUUGAGUAGCUUCUAUUACCAGACUCUCUGCUAAGUGCUGGACAACCUAAUAUGAAUUAGUUCUCAAGGUGCUCACAGACAUAUGCACAUAGACUGGUAAACAAAUUUCAAAUUAGCAUAAGUACAACGAUUGGAGAACAAUGUACAGACAUACCACACAGCAGCAAUUGAUUAAUUCCCUCUGACAUGAUAUCCCAACUUGGAUUUGAAAUGUUAAUAGAGUUUCCCCAGGCAAACCAAGGAUAGUGGAAGUAGGAAUAACAUAUAGAGAUAAGAGACAAUAUGUAUAUCCAAAGAACCAUAUGAUGUUUAGUAUUGAAGGAAUCUAAAGUACAAGGUGGAUACCUCUCUAUAUAAUGGCCUAUGUUUUCCCUAUGAAUUGAGAGACAAUAUUUUUUUGAUAAUGAAGGUAGAUAGAGAAUGGGUAGGCAGCUUGAAGGGAGGUUUAAAAGAGCUACAGGAUUGUUUGUAAAAUAGAAAGGAAUGGUUAAAAAAAAACCCUAGGGUGUAUUAAUAGAGUAUUGGCUUAAUAAAUUACAGUCCACCCACACAAUGGAAUACCAUGCAGUCAUUAAAAAGGUGUGCCCUGACAUACAUAGUCAUGCACCACACGGUGAUGUUUUGGUUUACUAAGGACUGUAUACUUGAUGGUGGUCUCUAUAUAUAGGCUAGACGUGUAGUAGGCUAUAUCAUCUAGGUUUGUGUAAUUAGAUUCUAAGACAUUUGCACAAUGACCAAAUCGCCUUGUGAUGGAUUUCUUAGAAUAUAUCCUUGCUGGUAAGCAACUCAUGCUUACACUGAUGUGAAAAGAUCUACAAGUCACCUUAUUUAAUAAAAAAAACAAACAAGAUGCAGAACUGUGUGUACUAACUUAGCUUUUGUGUAAACGGCAGUAGAAUAUAAAAAGAUAUUUUUUGAUAUGCAUAAAUAUCUCUGAAAGAACAUAGUUGUUUUGGUUGCCCAUGGAGAGAGAAGUUGGAUGGUCAGAGUACAAGAGCAGGAGUUAGGGGACAGGGGUGGGCAGCACUUUACAUUAAAUAUCUUUUCAUUUUGA